rnacentral:rRNA from 1 species
UACAGAGGGUGCAAGCGUUGUUCGGAAUUAUUGGGCGUAAAGGGCGCGUAGGCGGUGCGGUAAGUCACCUGUGAAAUCUCCUGGCUUAACUGGGAGCCUGCAGGCGAAACUACGUGGCUGGAGUGUGGCAGAGGAAGGUGGAAUUCCACGUGUAGCGGUGAAAUGCGUAGAGAUGUGGAGGAACACCAAUGGCGAAGGCAGCCUUCUGGGCCAACACUGACGCUCAUGCACGAAAGCGUGGGGAGCAAACAGG